CUCGUAGGCGGUUCAGCAAGUCGGGGUGUGAAAACUCUGGGCUUAACCCAGAGCCUGCACUCGAAACUGCUGUGACUAGAGUUCGGUAGGGGAGCAGGGAAUUCCUAGUGUAGCGGUGAAAUGCGCAGAUAUUAGGAGGAACACCAAUGGCGAAGGCACUGCUCUGGGCCGAUACUGACGCUGAGGAGCGAGAGCGUGGGUAGCAAACA
rnacentral:rRNA from 1 species